rnacentral:rRNA from 1 species
GAUGAACGCUGGCGGCGUGCCUAAUACAUGCAAGUCGAGCGAACAGACGAGGAGCUUGCUCCUCUGACGUUAGCGGCGGACGGGUGAGUAACACGUGGAUAACCUACCUAUAAGACUGGGAUAACUUCGGGAAACCGGAGCUAAUACCGGAUAAUAUAUUGAGCCGCAUGGUUCAAUAGUGAAAGACGGUUUUGCUGUCACUUGUAGAUGGAUCCGCGCCGCAUUAGCUAGUUGGUAAGGUAACGGCUUACCAAGGCAACGAUGCGUAGCCGACCUGAGAGGGUGAUCGGCCACACUGGAACUGAGACACGGUCCAGACUCCUACGGGAGGCAGCAGUAGGGAAUCUUCCGCAAUGGGCGAAAGCCUGACGGAGCAACGCCGCGUGAGUGAUGAAGGUCUUCGGAUCGUAAAACUCUGUUAUUAGGGAAGAACAAAUGUGUAAGUAACUAUGCACGUCUUGACGGUACCUAAUCAGAAAGCCACGGCUAACUACGUG